UCCACUUGAGCUGCAGCAGCUAUCUCAGAAGCUUCACCCAGGAUAUCUAGGGAGGCUGCAUUCAUCUUUCGAUUCCUUUUACCUGUUGUCACCAAGUAUGUAUUAGUUGAUGUCUUCCCUUGCUUACUAAAAUCAUGCUUCUUUUUUAGUUUCUCAAAACAAUCAGAUUUGUGAUUUUUGUAGUAGAACUCAACACAAUCUGCUGUUGUCUUGUAGUUAAGGAAUGAAGCAAUUUUUCUAAAAUCCUUCCCAAAGGUUGCCAGCUUAUCCACAAAGAUUUCUCUUUCUUCCGAAGUCCAGGGAUUUAUCAUGGCUCUUUCCUUUUCAACAGCAC
rnacentral:lncRNA from 1 species